CCUAUAGACGUAAAACAUAGCAAAUAUGCAUUCAAUAAAACCAAGGACUAGAACCGAACCGAAAAAAACCUUAAAUUUUAAUUUUAAUGAACCUAAACCAGAACCGGAACCACGAUAAACAAAGGUUUUUUUCGGUUUUUGAUACAUUGUUAUAAUUUCAAAAUACCAAGAAAACCAAUUAUUAGCGUGUACUCACAGAUUAUUUGAGAAAAUUGAUACUAAAGAUCCUACAAAAAAUGUUAACAAAAAUCAAACAUCAUAGUUCAUAGCUUCAUAUAAAAGUGUAACAUGACUAACUGGAUAGCAAAAUUCUCACAUUUACCAAC